UGGUGGCAUUGUAUUUCAGUUUUGAGCAAUUGUGCAAAAGCACCAUUUUUAUGAGAUGGCACUUUGUCAUUUGAGUAUUUUUUUUUCUGUGCAUAUUGUGAGGUUGUGCAUACAUGCGUCAUAUUGUUGCGUCAUUAUCACAUGCUGGUGUUUAUUGGGUGAUUGUUUCUUUUGGGUAGCUACGGGGUCUGGAAACGAGUUCGAGGUGUCCGGUGAGUUCGUGCAGGAAGAUCAGGAACAGUUCCACUCUGAAGAUUUCACAAGCAAGAUGAUCGUGACCUUGACACCGUUUCUAGCUUUGUUAUGCUUAGUUCAGUCGUUUCCAUCAUUAUACUCUGCUGCCUACUUCCUGAUAUAUAGGCCAUCAAACAUUGCCAUGAAACCUUUAACACUUCCCCUCC
rnacentral:lncRNA from 1 species